rnacentral:rRNA from 1 species
CCAGACUCCUACGGGAGGCAGCAGUGGGGAAUAUUGCACAAUGGGCGCAAGCCUGAUGCAGCCAUGCCGCGUGUAUGAAGAAGGCCUUCGGGUUGUAAAGUACUUUCAGUCGGGAGGAAGGUGGUAAGGUUAAUAACCUUAUCAAUUGACGUUACCGACAGAAGAAGCACCGGCUAACUCCGUGCCAGCAGCCGCGGUAAUACGGAGGGUGCAAGCGUUAAUCGGAAUUACUGGGCGUAAAGCGCACGCAGGCGGUCUGUCAAGUCGGAUGUGAAAUCCCCGGGCUCAACCUGGGAACUGCAUUCGAAACUGGCAGGCUGGAGUCUUGUAGGGGGGGGUAGAAUUCCAGGUGUAGCGGUGAAAUGCGUAGAGAUCUGGAGGAAUACCGGUGGCGAAGGCGGCCCCCUGGACAAAGACUGACGCUCAGGUGCGAAAGCGUGGGGAGCAAACAGGAUUAGAUACCCCGGUAACA